CAUGGCACAUUAAUAUCUCUAUGUAAUCCCGACGUGUGGGCCUUUCUUCCGUAAUUCCUGAUAACCCCCUGCAGAAAUAGACAAACACCAAAAGUCGUGGAAUUCUGUCAGAUAAAACCCCAAGUCUGGGUGUUGGUUGCAUUUGGAUCCUUUUCUUUAUUUAUUUGAUGAUUAUAUUUGGUACUUAAGGACCGUCAACAAUCAACGCACCCAAGACCGUAGCAAACCUAGAUAUAGCACCGUACCAAGAGAAUUCUUCUCGGGAGAAAGUCCGUCAGGAAAAGAGAAAUCCUUUGGCCGCCCUACCAGCAAACCACAAAGCACCC
rnacentral:lncRNA from 1 species